rnacentral:rRNA from 1 species
CCUACGGGUGGCAGCAGUGGGGAAUAUUGGACAAUGGGGGGAACCCUGAUCCAGCCAUGCCGCGUGUGUGAAGAAGGCCCUCGGGUUGUAAAGCACUUUCAGUGAGGAAGAACGCCUGGUGGUUAAUACCCAUCAGGAAAGACAUCACUCACAGAAGAAGCACCGGCUAACUCCGUGCCAGCAGCCGCGGUAAUACGGAGGGUGCGAGCGUUAAUCGGAAUUACUGGGCGUAGAGCGCGCGUAGGUGGCUUGAUAAGCCGGUUGUGAAAGCCCCGGGCUCAACCUGGGAACGGCAUCCGGAACUGUCAAGCUAGAGUGCAGGAGAGGAAGGUAGAAUUCCCGGUGUAGCGGUGAAAUGCGUAGAGAUCGGGAGGAAUACCAGUGGCGAAGGCGGCCUUCUGGACUGACACUGACACUGAGGUGCGAAAGCGUGGGUAGCAAACAGGAUUAGAUACCCUGGUAGUC